rnacentral:lncRNA from 1 species
UAUGGGCUGGCUCACCACUGCAGGAUGGUGGGGAAAGGCUGGAAGUUAGAAAUUCACUGCAGAGGGAAUUUCAGACUUCUUCCCCCUCCCUUCCGGGACUGCAGGAAAUCUGCACUGCAAAACACCUCAACUGAGAUAGCGUCAGCUCAGCAGAACUGCAGGAGACCACAGAACUUUUUUGCUGAUUGCUCUGCCGAAGUGUCACUUCUCCCGGGCCCCAAAGGCCUCUCCGGGACCCCCAGGAGCGCACUGACAGAGCUCUCCCCAGGCAGGGCAGGUCACGGCAGCAGCACACAGCCGAACAGACCUAGCACGGUUCACGGGGAUGAACCCUAACCUCAGGCUGAGUGAAGGAACAGCUGACGGAGGUGCUACGCAGUCAGAGAAGCCAAGUGAGGGUGUACGUGUUCUGCAGAUGUCGUCAGAACAGAGCACAGCCUUCAACACUGCUCCCCUGCAUCACCUCACAAACACAUAUGAACGUCUACCACUGAUUGUUUUCUGCAAUUGCAAUGAAUACCUAGUGCUGUCAGCUGGUAGUACUCCACAGCACGGGAACACUGAAGACUUUAUUACACCCAUCUUCUCAGUUUGAGGUCCUGCAAAGACCCACUCAGGGAAGUGUCUUCACAGAAGAAACCACCAACCUGAAGCAUGCAGACGUGUAUUUUGUUUGCAGGUCUGGAACUGCUGCCAGUCCCAUACCCCAAAGUUUUACCACUGAACCAAACAACUGCUCCCAACCUCAGCUGCCUCUCUGAUGUCCACAAGUCUGAUAACAAGAUGAGCGAGCCGGAGUUUGCUGAAGGACAGAUCUGGAUGGACUCAUACCUAAAGAGCACCUUCUGCUCCAUUUUGUGCCCAUUCAGAAAUACUGAGAACAUUAUUUUUCCCCGAGUCUGGAACUUGCAAUGUCUUCCCACAAAAAACCUUUGUUGCAAACCUUCUGAGGAACAGUUGUCAAACUGUGAAGCAAAUACUCUGUGCUGCCUUUCUUCCAGGCUAAAAUAACUUCCCUUCCUGCAACAAAAGCAUCUCACUUGGAGAAAACCCAACAGCAUGUUGUGAAACAUGCAACGCUAUAACCAGGAAAGAGCUUUUCUUUAUGGAGGUACAAAACACGCUCCCUUCCAACGAGCCUCUGCCUUAUUUAUCGCUCCCAAGCGGCUGCUGGAAACUCCUUCAGUGUCCUUUGAUA